rnacentral:rRNA from 1 species
ACUCUACAAUGCAGGCAACUGCGAUAGGGGAACAUCGAGUGAUCCUCAUAUUGGGGGUCUGUCCACCCGUCUAAAAAACGGGUGUUAGCAAGGGCCGGGCAAGACCGGUGCCAGCCGCCGCGGUAAUACCGGCGGCUCGAGUGGUGGCCGAUAUUAUUGAGUCUAAAGGGUCCGUAGCCGGCUUUGCAAGUCUCUCGGGAAAUCCAGCGGCUUAACCGUUGGUCGUCCGGGGGGUACUACAUUGCUUGGGACUGGGAGAGGUAGGAGGUACUCAGGGGGUAGGAGUGAAAUCCUGUAAUCCUUUGGGGACCACCGGUGGCGAAGGCGUCCUACCAGAACAGGUCCGACGGUGAGGGACGAAAGCUAGGGGCACGAACCGG